rnacentral:rRNA from 1 species
UACGGGGGGAGCAAGCGUUGUUCGGAUUUACUGGGCGUAAAGGGCACGUAGGCGGCGUGGUAAGUCACUUGUGAAAUCUCCGGGCUUAACCCGGAAAGGUCAAGUGAUACUGCUGUGCUAGAGUGCGGAAGGGGCAACUGGAAUUCUCGGUGUAGCGGUGAAAUGCGUAGAUAUCGAGAGGAACACCUGCGGCGAAGGCGGGUUGCUGGGCCGACACUGACGCUGAAGUGCGAAAGCUAGGGGAGCGAACGGG